CCCUUAGAUGUCCGGGGCUGCACGCGUGCUACACUGAAGGAAUCAGCGUGCUAAAACCAUUGUCGAAAGGCAUUGGUAAACCCAUUAAAAUCCUACGUGAUUGGGAUCGGGAAUUGCAAUUAUUUCCCUUGAACGAGGAAUUCCCAGUAAGUGUGGGUCAUAAGCUCGCGUUGAUUACGUCCCUGCCCUUUGUACACACCGCCCGUCGCUGCCCGGGACUGAGCCGUUUCGAGAAAAGCGGGGACUGCUGCUGUCGGGGCUUUCGGGCCUUGGCUUCGGUGGAAACCGCUUUAAUCGCAGUGGCUUGAACCGGGCAAAANUCGUANCA
rnacentral:rRNA from 1 species